CCCUUAGAUGUUCUGGGCUGCACGCGCGCUACACUGAUGCGCUCAACGAGUUUUAACCUUGCCUGGAAAGGUUGGGUAAUCUUUUUAAAACGCACCGUGAUGGGGAUAGAUUAUUGCAAUUAUUAAUCUUCAACGAGGAAUUCCUAGUAAGCGCGAGUCAUCAGCUCGUGCUGAUUACGUCCCUGCCCUUUGUACACACCGCCCGUCGCUCCUACCGAUUGAGUGGUCCGGUGAGGCUUUGGGAUCUGAGCGGAAAGAGCGUUUCGCUGUUUCUGCUCGGAAAACUCAGUCGAACCUUAUCAUUUAGAGGAAGGAGAAGUCGUAACA
rnacentral:rRNA from 1 species